UAAAUGAAACUUCAGACGUCACUAAUCACGUGACUCUGGCCAAACGAAUCAAGCCUCGACACAGUGCUUCUGAAGCAGCGUGUUGAUCUUUUUGACACACGCACCGGAGCGUCAGCUUCAAGCGGACCAUCACUACCUCUCACAUCUAAAGGACCAACAUGGAGCGAGAACUCAGCGCUCUCAGGAGGCCGACAAACCUCACAGAAGAAAGAGAGAGAAAACAUACACCUGUGACGAGUGUGGGAAGGGUUUUACUUUGAAAGGUUCACUAAAACGUCAUCAGGCCAUCCACACUGGAGAGAGACCGUUCAGCUGUGACUUGUGUGGAAAGUCUUUUUCCUGGAAGCGUUCCCUAAAAACACACCAACUCAUCCACAGUGGAGUUAAAGCAUACAGCUGUGAUCAGUGUGGCAGAGCUUUUACUCACAGUAGCAGCUUACAGAAUCAUCUAGUUACCCACUCUGGAAUUAAGGCAUACAGCUGUGACAUUUGUGGAAAAACUUUCAGCCGGAGAGGGCACCGAAAUACACAUCUACGCAUUCACACCAGACAUGAUGUCUACUGCUGUGAACAGUGUGGCAAAGAGUUUAUAACAGACACACAGUUACAACGACACAUGUUUACCCACACUGAGGAGAGACCUCAUAAAUGUGACCUGUGUGAGAAGACUUUUAAAGUUCCACAUUACCUGAGACGACACCAACAGAUCCACACCAGAAAGAGACUCUACAAGUGCAGUUACUGUGAGAAGCAGAGCGACACAGAUGGAUCCAGUUCUCAACCCUGUCAUCACUGUGGUGGUGGGAAAGACUUCCGUUGUGACCUCUGUGGAAAAAGUUUCAGUUGGCAAGUUGCCCUAAAAA